GGCCCGCAAGCACCGCGCGCAGUCCCGGUUCCUGCCCGCGCCUCUCCCUCCACACCUCCUUGCAAGCUGAGGGAGCCGGCUCUGGCCUUGGCCAGCCCAGAAAGGGGCUGCCAUAGUGCAGCGGAGGGCUGAAGGGCUCCUCAAGUGCCGUCAAAGUGGGAGCCCAGUCAGAGGAGGUGCCGAAAGCGAGCGAGGGCUGUGAGGACUGCCAGCACAGUGUCACCUCUCACUCUCUCUCAGUGCUGUGAGAGUAUGGGUUCCUCUCCCACUUGAGUGCUGGCUACAGAACUUGGCUUCGCACUGCUGGGCUGUGCACCACGGCCCUAAGCUGGAGGGCAGUAAGGGCAGUACCGCUGCAGCCGCAAUGAGAGAGGGGCUGUGCGUUGUCUACAGAAUUCCCUCCCCAGAGAAACUCAGAGCUGCCACCUACUGAAAUGUUCAGGGUCAUCAUGUCAUAGAUGGAAGAAGGUCAAGAUUGAUGAAUAUCAUGCUUCUUCAAACUUCCUUAACCGAGUUGAGUCUAAUCUAUGGGAGAAUAAGGGAGGACGACAGAA
rnacentral:lncRNA from 10 species